CCUACGGGAGGCAGCAGUAGGGAAUAUUGCUCAAUGGGGGAAACCCUGCAGCAGCAACGCCGCGUGGAGGAUGAAGGUUUUAGGAUUGUAAACUCCUUUUGUUAGAGAAGAUUAUGACGGUAUCUAACGAAUCACCACCUGCGAACUCCGUGCCAGCAGCCGCGGUCAUACUGAGGGUGCAAGCGUUACGCGGAAUUACUGGGCGUAAAGAGUGCGUAGGCGGGGGAAUAAGUCAGAUGUGAAAUCCUGUUGGUUAACCACAGAACUGCAUUUGAAACUGUUACUCUGGAGUGUGGGAGAGGUAGGUGGAAUUCUUGGUGUAGCGGUAAAAUCCGUAGAGAUCAAGAGGAAUACUCAUUGCGAAGGCGACCUGCUGGAACAUGACUGACGCUGAUGCACGAAAGCGUGGGGAGCAAACAGGAUUAGAUACCCCAGUAGUC
rnacentral:rRNA from 1 species